UGCAGUUCCGCCGCCGCUGCGCGGGUGGAGAAGGUUCCCGGCUCUGGUGGUUUCUGUUUCUCUUGGAUCCACGCCAUCUCCCAGCACCCGCUGACAUCCGCACCUUCCCGCACUGUCUGCUGUGUCUCCGCCUCUGUCCCGCGCCAUCUCUCACGGCGCCCCGGGACAGGCUUCAGUGACUAGCAGUGACCAAGUAUGAGGCCGUCUGAGGAUGGAGGGAGUCAGGCUGUAGUGCGUUCAUUGCCUGAGACCCGAAUCCCCCCAGCACACACGCCGUGUUUUCCUGUCGAUGAGCAUGAUGGUGUCCUGCCAGCUGGGCAGAUCCCGGGACGGCUUCUUGUCCCCUGCAGGAGUGUCACGUGGCUCUUGUUGCAUGAGACGCGUCGUCAGGGAGAGCGGGACUGAGUCCCGGAUGACCUGCAGACCCCUUCCUAGGGCCAGAUCGUCCUUGUUCCUGAUACCGUAGUGUGGCUGUUCAGGUACUGCAGUAACAGCCUGCCUUCGUGGGUGCUAGAAACUGCCAGCUGCUGUGCCAAGUGUUCCGUGUGUCCCCCGGGGCCUGCUGUGAGUGUCCGUUCACCGAUUUUCCUUUGCAGCUGGGUCUGUGUGCACAGAGGCUCCACAGGAGGCGUCAUCUUCGUGUCAGCCAGGCGCUAGGCCCUGGGGCCCCAGGAGCCGCCAGUAAUGUCGAAUAUGUGGAGAAAGAAAAAUAAAGGUGGGCCAGAUGUAGGAGCAAAGAGGGGUCCUACCAACUCUGAAUCAUUCAGAAAGGUUCCAUUCAUCACGGUCUGCCAGAAGCCCGAGGAGUUUUCUUGUCAGUCACUGGAUGUUGUGUGGCAGGAGGAGUCCCCAGCCAUGUAGUCAGCCGUCAGCAGGGGCUGCCCUUCUGCCUUUCUGCGCUGCAGUUGUGUUGGGUGGAGGCCGCAACCCUGCACCGGCGCCUUCGCUUGGUAGACUCUGCAGGGGCAACGUGGUGCUCCCAAGAGGCGUGUCUGGCUCCCAGACAACAGGUCAGCAUUAGAUCUGGAGAUCGUUGAGGAAGUCCCAGGGCCAUGAGUCAGUGACUUUGGGGUGACUUGGGAUCUGGCAUUGCUGGUAUUUCUCCCCAGGCCGUUGGUCUCGCCUUUCCUUUCUUGUAGAUUCCUUUUGUUCGUGGACACCAACGGGGCAGAGAAUGGAGAGUGCAGUCCACACAUGAAGAGCUCCCCGCCGCCUGCUCGGAGUGUCAUGGGAGAACUGUUCACUCAGCACGAGAAAUCAGGGCAAAGCGCUGGGACUGGGGGCUUGGGGUCCCCUUCAGCUGGCUCUGAGUCCCGACAGCAGUGCGCUUGGACGCCGUGGCCGGGGAAGGCCGGCCCCCGUCCCUCUGCCGUGCCUGCGUGGCUUCAGUGACCGAGAGUUUGUCUCUUGAGUUGGCAGCCGCUCAUCAUCAUCACUUUUCUCUCCACGCAUCCGUUCAAUAAACCGUAUGCACCCCCCACCCCCCGCCUGUGUUUUAAGUCAGUAACAAGCCACGUGCCAGCGAGGCUGGGCAGGGAGAAAGUGGGUCACAGGCCAAAUCCUGUUUUCACUCUGAGCCUUUCCGUCCUGCUCCUGAGGCUUGGCACACGGGCUGUUGUUUGAGGUGUUCUGUUAGGACGGGGGUGAACAAACGCUGGUGGUUGGCUCAGGUUAGGACCUGUGAGAGUUGAGGGCGUCGAGGAACAGUCAGGCCAGGGCUUGGGAAGGGUGAUGGGGACCGGAGUGAGACAGGUGCUGAUGGCACGGGGGAAGCUGUGGGUGCCUGGCUCAUGAGUACGUACCUGCUUGUGUGACCAACUGGCCUAGUUUGCCUGGAAUUGAGGGGUUUCUCAGACAUGGGAAUUUUAUUGCCAAAACCAGGAAAGUCCUGGGCAAACUGGAACAAGUUGGUCAACUUAUCUGGGUGUAAAAUACAUGGUGUCAACUUGAGAGGACAGGUUACUGAGUAAAGGUGAGAAUGGUGAACGUGGAGCUGCCAUUGGUGGACUCAGUCUUUUGGAGAUAAUUGGGGUAAAAUCAACAGUUGCACUGAGGACAUGUAUGUGAACUUUUUAAUCUCCAUUUUAUAGAUGGAGGAGUCUACAUGAGGAAGUAUGUCCCAAAGGCUGUGAUGAAAGGCUGGACUUAAUUGUCCAGUUUCUGCAUUUGGAAUUGAAACCACCUUGGCUGAGCUGAGGCAGGAUUCAGGCUGUCAGGCCUGCCUGGUGGCUUUGACACCCUGAAGGUCUGUGCAGGGGCAGGCAUUCUUCAUGGCUGAAAUGUUCUGCCCUGCUAGCCAUUCUUCAUGGCUGAAAUGUUCUGCCCUGCUAGCCGGUUCCUGGUAGAGGCAUCCAGAAGCGGGAAGUCCUUUUUCUGUCUCACUCCAAGGACUAUCCUCUGACUUCUGUUUGCCACCUUUAUUCAGCUGGUUGUAGCUGCCUGGAAAGAUGCUGAGAGAAGGAGUCUGGGUCCACUGGAGAUAGCUGUGGCUGAGCGUGACGUUUGCUGCCGUGCAGGCCAGUCCUUGACCAGUGUUCCUGGGGACACCGGGCACUGGUCAUCGUGCUAGCCCUGUUCUACCGCAGUGUGUGAAGCAGGAGCCAUCCCAGGCCUGUAGGGCCUGAGGAGAUCUGAGGAGAGCAUUCAUCCAAGGUGACCCAGGAGCCAGGCUUAAGGUCAGUAAGGCACAAACCUUGGCUGGGAAACUAGGCCUCACUGGAGCAGCUGGUGGGAGAUUAACCAGACAUCAUACUAGACAUAGGGGUACAAUGGUGAAUAAGACAGUUUGUGCCCUAAAAAGGGUCACCAAUAAAUAUAUAGAUAAUGUCUCCACACACCAAACGUUACAGGACAUGCACUUCUGGGCACUGUAGGUAUUGGGGAUGCAGCUUUAAACAAAACGGGGUGCCUCCUGGAGCUUGUUUAGAACUGCUGUCCAUUAUGGCAAGCCACCAGACACCUGUGGCUAUUUUAAUGGAUUUAAAUAAAACUUUUAAAAUUCAGGUCUUCAGUUUUAUCAGCCACAUUUCAAGUGCUCAGUAGCCACAAGUAGCUGCGGGGUUGGACAGUGCAGAUACAUAGAAUAUUCCCAUCACUGCAGGAGGUUCAGACAGCACCAGUCUAGAAAAUAAGGAGUUGAAUUCCGUGAAAGGAGUUGCUGGGACACCUUUACAGAAAGGCUGUCAUUUGAGGAGCCCAAAGAG